UUUCAUGCUGUGACCCUACAAAGGCAAGCACUUUCUGUUGUCUAAAAGAAAAGAAGGUGCUUCCCUUUGCAGUGUUACGGUUUGAGA
rfam:Papio anubis isolate 1X1155 chromosome 19, whole genome shotgun sequence.